UAAAAAGCUUCAAACUGGGAUUAGAUACCCCACUAUGCCUAGCCUCAAACUAUGACUCAAUACAAAACACCAUCCGCCCGGGAACUACGAGCCCCAGCUUAAAACCCAAAGGACUUGGCGGUGCCCCACCCACCUAGAGGAGCCUGUUCUAUAAUCGAUAACCCCCGCUUAACCUCACCACUUCUUGCCAAUACCGCCUAUAUACCACCGUCGCCAGCCCACCCCGUGAGGGAAAUAGUAGGCACAAUGAUAAGUCACCAAAACGUCAGGUCAAGGUGUAGCGUAUGAAGUGGAAAGAAAUGGGCUACAUUCUCUAACCUAGAGCACACGAAAAAUCAUAUGAAAUUAGAUCAGAAGGAGGAUUUAGUAGUAAAAAGAAACAAUAGUGUUCUUUUUAAGUUGGCCCUGGGGCGCGCACACACCGCCCGUCACCCUCUGCAGUCAAA
rnacentral:rRNA from 1 species